AGUGAACGCUGGCGGUAGGCCUAACACAUGCAAGUCGAACGGCAGCACAGUAAGAGCUUGCUCUUACGGGUGGCGAGUGGCGGACGGGUGAGGAAUACAUCGGAAUCUACUUUUUCGUGGGGGAUAACGUAGGGAAACUUACGCUAAUACCGCAUACGACCUACGGGUGAAAGCAGGGGAUCUUCGGACCUUGCGCGAUUGAAUGAGCCGAUGUCUGAUUAGCUAGUUGGCGGGGUAAAGGCCCACCAAGGCGACGCUCCGUAGCUGGUCUGAGAGGAUGAUCACUCACACUGGAACUGAGACACGGUCCAGACUCCUACGGGAGGCAGCAGUGGCGAAUAUUGGACAAUGGGCGCAAGCCUGCUCCAGCCAUACCGCGUGGGUGAAGAAGGCCUUCGGGUUGUAAAGCCCUUUUGUUGGGAAAGAAAAGCAGCAGGUUAAUACCCCGCUGUUCUGACGGUACCCAAAGAAUAAGCACCGGCUAACUUCGUG
rnacentral:rRNA from 1 species